GAUGAACGCUGGCGGCGUGCCUAAUACAUGCAAGUCGAGCGAACAGACGAGGAGCUUGCUCCUCUGACGUUAGCGGCGGACGGGUGAGUAACACGUGGAUAACCUACCUAUAAGACUGGGAUAACUUCGGGAAACCGGAGCUAAUACCGGAUAAUAUAUUGAACCGCAUGGUUCAAUAGUGAAAGACGGUUUUGCUGUCACUUAUAGAUGGAUCCGCGCCGCAUUAGCUAGUUGGUAAGGUAACGGCUUACCAAGGCAACGAUGCGUAGCCGACCUGAGAGGGUGAUCGGCCACACUGGAACUGAGACACGGUCCCGACUCCUACGGGAGGCAGCAGUAGGGACUCUUCCGCAAUGGGCGAAAGCCUGACGGAGCAACGCCGCGUGAGUGAUGAAGGUCUUCGGAUCGUAAAACUCUGUUAUUAGGGAAGAACAAAUGUGUAAGUAACUAUGCACGUCUUGACGGUACCUAAUCAGAAAGCCACGGCUAACUACGUG
rnacentral:rRNA from 1 species